rnacentral:rRNA from 1 species
AGCGUUGCUCGGAAUCACUGGGCGUAAAGCGCACGUAGGCGGAUUGUUAAGUCAGGGGUGAAAUCCUGGAGCUCAACUCCAGAACUGCCUUUGAUACUGGCGAUCUUGAGUUCGGGAGAGGUGAGUGGAAUUGCGAGUGUAG